rnacentral:rRNA from 1 species
GUUCAGUCACGGGCGGCAGACGCGAAACCGGGUGAUCUAUCCAUGGCCAGGUUGAAGCGCAGGUAAAACUGCGUGGAGGACCGAACCAUUACACGUUGAAAAGUGCUUGGAUGAGCUGUGGAUAGGGGUGAAAGGCCAAUCAAACCCGGAGAUAGCUCGUACUCCCCGAAAUGUUUUUUGGAACAGCCUCAUGGUAGUCUGCCGGAGGUAGAGCACUGAUAGGGUUAGGGGCCCCACAAGGUUACCGACCCCUGUCAAACUCCGAAUGCCGGUUGUACGUUCCAUGGGAGUGAGCCCGUGGGAGAUAACUUUCACGGGCGAGAGGGAAACAACCCAGACCGACGGCUAAGGUCCCCAAGUGCAGGUUAAGUGAUCAAAGGAUGUGGAAUCGCUUAGACAACUGGGAGGUUGGCUUAGAAGCAGCCAUUCCUUUAAAGAGUGCGUAAUAGCUCACCAGUCAAGUAGUUCUGCGCCGAAAAUUCUCGGGACUAAAUCUGCCACCGAAGCCACGGGAUUCGCCUUCGGGCGGAUCGGUAGGGGAGCAUUCCGUUAACCUGCGAAGGCGUCUCGUGAGAGGCGUUGGAGGACACGGAAAAGACCAUGCUGGCAUGAGUAACGAUAAAACGGGCGAGAAACCCGUUCACCGAAAGCCUAAGGUUUCCUGAGUAAAGUUCGUCUGCUCAGGGUUAGCCGGCCCCUAAGACGAGGCGGAAACGCGUAGUCGAUGGGAAACGGGUCAAUAUUCCCGUGCCGGUAGUCGCGCGUUAUACCUAUGGGGUGACGCAGAAGUGAAAGGCCCGCCACGGAUUGGAUUGCGUGGUCUAAGGGUGUAGGCGGUCGGAGUAGGAAAAUCCGCUCCGGCGUUAACGCUGAGGCCUGAAUGGGAGCCGUAAGGCAUAAACGGGCCCUAAGCUGGCUGCCAAGAAAAACCUCUAUGGAAGUUCGACUGCCGACCGUACCGCAAACCGACACAGGUAGGCGGGGAGAGUAUCCUCAGGUGCUCGAGAGAACCGUGGUCAAGGAACUCGGCAAAAUCGCUCCGUAACUUCGGGAGAAGGAGCGCCUCCAGCGGUGAUCCUCCUUGCGGGGAGAGCUUCCGGAGGCCGCAGUGAAUAGGCCCAGGCGACUGUUUACUAAAAACACAGGUCUCUGCCAAGUCGCAAGACGACGUAUAGGGACUGACACCUGCCCGGUGCCGGAAGGUUAAGGGGAUAUGUCAGCUUUCGGGCGAAGCAUUGAACCGAAGCCCCGGUAAACGGCGGCCGUAACUAUAACGGUCCUAAGGUAGCGAAAUUCCUUGUCGGGUAAGUUCCGACCUGCACGAAUGGUGUAACGAUCUGGGCACUGUCUCGACCACGGACUCGGUGAAAUUGAAUUCUCGGUGAAGAUGCCGGGUACCCGCGGCUGGACGGAAAGACCCCGUGGACCUUUACUACAGCCUGAUAUUGAAUCUUAGCUUUGCAUGUGUAGGAUAGGUGGGAGGCUGUGAAGCGGGCACGCCAGUGUUCGUGGAGCCAACCUUGAAAUACCACCCUUGUACUGUUGAGGUUCUAACCCUGACCGUUAGCCGGUCCGGGAACAGUGUCAGGUGGGUAGUUUGACUGGGGCGGUCGCCUCCUAAAAUGUAACGGAGGCGCCCAAAGGUCACCUCAGCACGGUCGGUAAUCGUGCGCAGAGUGUAAAGGCACAAGGUGGCUUGACUGCGAGUCAGACAAGACGAGCAGGUGCGAAAGCAGGGCUUAGUGAUCCGGCGGUUGUGGAUGGAAAUGCCGUCGCUCAACGGAUAAAAGGUACCCCGGGGAUAACAGGCUUAUCUCCCCCAAGAGUUCACAUCGACGGGGAGGUUUGGCACCUCGAUGUCGGCCCGUCGCAUCCUGGGGCUGGAGAAGGUCCCAAGGGUUUGGCUGUUCGCCAAUUAAAGCGGCACGCGAGCUGGGUUUAGAACGUCGUGAGACAGUUCGGUCCCUAUCCGC